ACUGAACGUGCCCUUUCUACCUCCGCACGCCGUUUGCAUCUGCAUACAAGCGGCGGCGCGGAGCACCCC
rnacentral:sRNA from 1 species